CCGGGCUGCUGUGCUCUGGGUACUCGAGUCCCUCUGGCUCUGUAGAGCCCCUUCUGUCUGCACGUCCAGGUUACUGGUGACGCGCUGCGCUUCGCGACAAUGUUACUACAGGACAGGAUGGAUCAAAAGCAAAGCCAUUAAGAGGAAAACUGUGAUUAUUCCACACUGACAGAAUACAGAGCGGAUAUUUUAGAAAGCUGAAUCCAUGGGACAUCCGGACACAGGGG